AUUGUACGCUGGCGGCAUGCUUUACACAUGCAAGUCGAACGGCAGCGCGGGCUUCGGCCUGGCGGCGAGUGGCGAACGGGUGAGUAAUACAUCGGAACGUGCCCAGUAGUGGGGGAUAGCUCGGCGAAAGCCGGAUUAAUACCGCAUACGACCUGAGGGUGAAAGCGGGGGAUCUUCGGACCUCGCGCUAUUGGAGCGGCCGAUGGCCGAUUAGCUAGUUGGUGGGGUAAAGGCCUACCAAGGCGACGAUCUGUAGCUGGUCUGAGAGGACGACCAGCCACACUGGGACUGAGACACGGCCCAGACUCCUACGGGAGGCAGCAGUGGGGAAUUUUGGACAAUGGGCGAAAGCCUGAUCCAGCAAUGCCGCGUGUGUGAUGAAGGCCUUCGGGUUGUAAAGCACUUUUGGCGGGAACGAAAAGGACUGUGCCAAUACCACGGUUCGAUGACGGUACCCGCAGAAUAAGCACCGGCUAACUACGUG
rnacentral:rRNA from 1 species